rnacentral:tRNA from 1 species
GCGGGGGUAGCAAAGCCUGGCCAAAUGUGCUGGACUUAAGAUCCAGUGGUUUAGUACCUUCGAGGGUUCGAAUCCCUUCCCCCGCA